rnacentral:pre_miRNA from 1 species
CGGCUUGCUAGAACCAGCGUCUCAGCUGAGACUGGGUGAAAGAAAGCACUGUCAAACUGAGCUGGCUUUGACAGUGCUUUCUUUCACCCAGUCUCAGCUGAGACGCUGGUUCUAGCAAGCCG